GACGAACGCUGGCGGCGUGCUUAAGACAUGCAAGUCGAACGGAGAUACUCAUGAAGCUUGCGAUUGAGUAUCUUAGUGGCGGACGGGUGAGUAACGCGUGGGUAACCUGCCCUAUGGUCCGGGAUAACAUUCCGAAAGGGAUGCUAAGACCGGAUAUGCUCACAGCUCGGCAUCGAGCAGGGAGGAAAGGUAGCGCCAUAGGAUGGACCCGCGUCCCAUUAGCUAGUUGGUGAGGUAACGGCUCACCAAGGCGACGAUGGGUAGCCGGCCUGAGAGGGUGACCGGCCACACUGGGACUGAGACACGGCCCAGACUCCUACGGGAGGCAGCAGUCGGGAAUUUUCGGCAAUGGGGGAACCCUGACCGAGCAAACGCCGCGUGAAGGAAGAAGGUCUUCGGAUUGUAAACUUCUUUGAUGAGGGACGAAUAAAGUGACGGUACCUCAAAAACAAGCCACGGCUAACUACGUG
rnacentral:rRNA from 1 species